AUUGAACGCUGGCGGCAGGCUUAACACAUGCAAGUCGAGCGGGGAAGGGUAGCUUGCUACGUGACCUAGCGGCGGACGGGUGAGUAAUGCUUAGGAAUCUGCCUGUUAGUGGGGGACAACAUUCCGAAAGGAAUGCUAAUACCGCAUACGCCCUACGGGGGAAAGCAGGGGAUCUUCGGACCUUGCGCUAAUAGAUGAGCCUAAGUCAGAUUAGCUAGUUGGUGGGGUAAAGGCCUACCAAGGCGACGAUCUGUAGCGGGUCUGAGAGGAUGAUCCGCCACACUGGGACUGAGACACGGCCCAGACUCCUACGGGAGGCAGCAGUGGGGAAUAUUGCGCAAUGGGGGGAACCCUGACGCAGCCAUGCCGCGUGAAUGAAGAAGGCCUUAGGGUUGUAAAGUUCUUUCGGUAUUGAGGAAGGUUGAUGUGUUAAUAGCACAUCAAAUUGACGUUAAAUACAGAAGAAGCACCGGCUAACUCCGUGCCAGCAGCCGCGGUAAUACGGAGGGUGCGAGCGUUAAUCGGAAUAACUGGGCGUAAAGGGCACGCAGGCGGUUAUUUAAGUGAGGUGUGAAAGCCCCGGGCUUAACCUGGGAAUUGCAUUUCAGACUGGGUAACUAGAGUACUUUAGGGAGGGGUAGAAUUCCACGUGUAGCGGUGAAAUGCGUAGAGAUGUGGAGGAAUACCGAAGGCGAAGGCAGCCCCUUGGGAAUGUACUGACGCUCAUGUGCGAAAGCGUGGGGAGCAAACAGG
rnacentral:rRNA from 1 species